GCACCCGUAGCUCAGUUGGAUAGAGCGUUUGACUUCGAAUCAAAAGGUCGUAGGUUCGAGCCCUACCGGGUGUA
rnacentral:tRNA from 1 species